UUUUCUCUCCCCUCUCUCGUGAUUACAAAUCAUGGCACCUCCUCCGUCUCUCCCUGCAUUUCUUUUCGCUUCUUCUCCUCUUCUUCCUCUCCUCUCCCAUGGAGAUCGUUUCUAGGGUUAUGAAGCGAAAGAUGUCGCUGUCCUCCUCUUCAUCCAAGAUCUGCUUCAAUCUCGACUGCAAAGAGGCGAAAUCAGAGCCUUCUACAACGGGAUGGUGUCUUUAUGCCAGCAAUUUUACUGAGCUAUAUGAUCAAUGCGGGUAGCCUCUCUAUUUCUCGUGAUUCUUUGAUUUUCUUUCGUAAGGGCAUUUUAUUACUCCUCCUUUAAAGGAAAUCGAAGAGAGAGAUGUUCGAAAAGAGGGUUUUCCGGCCAGUCUUAAUCACAAUAAAGAUUUCGGCCCUGGUUGAGAUGAUGGGAGGCAUCGAGGGUUUCAGCUCCCGAUUCAAUUGCGGGAGUGGAUGGAGAUUAUGGCCCUGAUUGAGAUGAUGAGAGGCGUCAAGGUGUUUGGCUUGCGAGAGUGGAUGGAGAUUAUGACCCUGAUUGAGAUGAUGAGAGGCGUCGAGGGUUUCGGCUCCCAAUUCCAUCGCAAGAGUGGAUGGAGAUUACGGCCCUGAUUGAGAUGAUGAUAGGCAUUGAGGGUUUUGUCUCCUGAUUCAAUUGUGAGAGUGGAUGAAGAUUACGGCCCUGAUUUGAUCGUGAGGGUUGCACCCCUUUGAUUUGUGCGUGAGUUAUGACCCUGAUCUGAGAGGUGGCAGCAGCAGCAGAACCCCUCGUCACAUUUGAUCGCAAUGGGUGGUAUAGAUGAUGAAGGGUUUUGGUUCUUUGACAGCAACAACACCCGGGGUUGGCGUGGGUUUUCGAUUCCGGCUACGGAGUGAGGCAGCGAUGCAGGGUGUGGGUGUGUGAUGGAGAUCGUCCUCAACUCUGAUACCAGUGAAGUUUGGAGGGCGUUAGACAGCCGUUUGGCAACGAAUCUCUAGGAGGAGGAAUUUUCAACCAGAUGGGGAAGUCACAUUUCUGGGGUGUGUUCAUUGUUGUUUAAAUGUCUAUACUGAGACUGGACGGUUGUCGGCUAGAAGACCGAAUUUGCAGGUUUUGAUUCUAUCCUUCAUAAAUUCAAGAUAUCAGAGGAGCAGAGAAAAUAUUUUAUUGAUAACCAAGAGCCCCUGGUAGCAUUUGCUCUCCGUUGCAGGAUGUAAUCUUCACCUGCAGUAAGGAUGCCUUUGCUUUUGAGAGAUGAAAAGCGAAAAUGCUCAACUUCACUAUUGCAUAUGGGAAAACUCUUGUUGGCUGGCCCAUGAUUGGAAGGUAUGAAUACUCUUAUCAAUUAUUGUAAUGUGGGUAGAUGAACAUGUGGCUGCCAAUGAAUGCGGUUUGAUGCAGCAUUGCCACUUUCAGGUAAUCAACUGUUUGUCAAAGCAACUACUUACAGUUCCUGUUUUUUUUUUUUUUUUUACUUAUCUUUAUCUUUUUCUUUUUCUUUUUAUUUUCUAGUGACGCUACCAAAGAGCAUGAAGGCAAAUGGGGUAUGAAAUAAUUAACAAAGGUAAGGAAACCACUUCACUUUUGACCUUUGAUUGCUAUUUAUUUUCCUAGUUAAAAUUGUACCUUGCAUUAGGAAGGAACAUGCCAGAUUGGCCUCUGGGUUUGAGUCCCAACCUGAAUGGGUUGGACUUGGGCCUAAUAUAGACCCAUUGAUGGGCCUAGCUUUAAUUUAAAAUGGGUUGGCCUUGGGCCUAAGUCAGGUUGGCCUGCGUGUUAACAGACCCAACCUAUUUUUGAGGUGGGUUCAAGCCAAACUUAUUGGGUAGUGGGUCGGGCUUUGAGCUAGAAAUUUGUCCAUUUAAAUAAUGGGUUAGGCUGGGGUUGAACCUACCUACUGGGUUGAGCCAGAUAACCCUACAUAGGUUACUAAUGGGUUGAGCUAGAUAAACUGGCUUGCCUUGACCCAAAACCCAAAACAAAAUAAAGAACAAUAGUAUGGAUAAAUUUAUUGUCUGCACCCAAACUCAACAUGAUUUCUUCGGUCCAAUUGAUUGAACCUGAGCUCAUUAAAAUUGGGUCGGUUUCAUAGGGUACCCAUGAAAUUUGGGUACCCCUUGGCAUCCCUAUCAACUUUAAUGCGACCCCUGUGAUAAAUUGGGUCAGAUUUGGAUAAGAGGCCAAUAUCGACCCAUUAAAUUAAUGGGUCGGCUGCUUUGAUUUCAACCUAACCUAAAUUGGCCCAAAUUUUAAUGGGCCAGGUUUAGAAUUUGUCUAUUUAAAUAAUGGGUUACGCUUGGGUUGAACCCUACCUACC